rnacentral:lncRNA from 1 species
GAAUGGUUGCAGCCAGUAAGAUAUAAUAGAUUCAAGCUUGAAGCAAACCUGUUCUUUCCGCUUCUCAUGUGUGGAGAAACAGGUUACGGCUUACUGAUCCCAACCCAACUCAGCAGGAAAGUGAUGUCAGUCCAUAAGGAUGAACAUUAUGGAAUGAGAAUGACUACUGCAGAGGCCAAGAACAGGAUAGAUAUGGAUCACUUUUCCUCACAAAGCAGAAAUGAGUUGGUGCCCACUUCAGGCCUGCUUUAUUGCAUAUAGGAAGAAAUUUCCACUGACGUUGGUGGGAAACACAUCCCAGCUGCUAAGGUACUCCAAAUUUGCCUCGGUUCCCAGGCAUCAAAGGGAUUUUUCUGUAACAGUAUAUUAUCAGAUGACUGUUAUUUUGAGUUCCCCUUUUGUCCAACAAAAUGUGGAUUUCAUAAAGAGACUGAAGAAUAAACAUUUUGAGAUAAGUAUCAUUUGGAUAUUUUUGAGUCAAAAUGAGCAAAAACCUUUGAAGGCAUUUCGUGGGGCCCAGCUGUAUCUUCUAAUUGUUCACAUGAAAGAUUGUAUAUGUGGGAGUUUUAUGUUAAGAGUAUUUACAGCAUUAAAUGACAUUUAA